rnacentral:rRNA from 1 species
AGAGUUUGAUCAUGGCUCAGGACGAACGCUGGCGGCGUGCCUAACACAUGCAAGUCGAACGGACGAGGCCCCUUCGGGGACCGAGUUAGUGGCAGACGGGUGAGUAACGCGUGAGCAACCUGCCUUUCAGAGGGGGACAACAGUUGGAAACGACUGCUAAUACCGCAUGAUGCAGCGAGAUCGCAUGGUCUUGCUGUCAAAGAUUUAUCGCUGAAAGAUGGGCUCGCGUCUGAUUAGCUAGUUGGAGGGGUAACGGCCCACCAAGGCGACGAUCAGUAGCCGGACUGAGAGGUUGAACGGCCACAUUGGGACUGAGAUACGGCCCAGACUCCUACGGGAGGCAGCAGUGGGGAAUAUUGGGCAAUGGGGGAAACCCUGACCCAGCAACGCCGCGUGAAGGAAGAAGGCUUUCGGGUUGUAAACUUCUUUUACCAGGGACGAAGAACGUGACGGUACCUGGAGAAAAAGCCACGGCUAACUACGUGCCAGCAGCCGCGGUAAUACGUAGGUGGCAAGCGUUGUCCGGAUUUACUGGGUGUAAAGGGCGUGUAGGCGGAGCUGCAAGUCAGAUGUGAAAUCUGGGGGCUUAACCCUCAAACUGCAUUUGAAACUGUAGCCCUUGAGUAUCGGAGAGGCAGGCGGAAUUCCUAGUGUAGCGGUGAAAUGCGUAGAUAUUAGGAAGAACACCAGUGGCGAAGGCGGCCUGCUGGACGACAACUGACGCUGAGGCGCGAAAGCGUGGGGAGCAAACAGGAUUAGAUACCCUGGUAGUCCACGCUGUAAACGAUGAAUACUAGGUGUGGGGGGACUGACCCCCUCCGUGCCGGAGUUAACACAAUAAGUAUUCCACCUGGGGAGUACGACCGCAAGGUUGAAACUCAAAGGAAUUGACGGGGGCCCGCACAAGCAGUGGAUUAUGUGGUUUAAUUCGACGCAACGCGAAGAACCUUACCGGGAUUUGACAUCCUACUAACGAAGCAGAGAUGCAUUAGGUGCCCUUCGGGGAAAGUAGAGACAGGUGGUGCAUGGUUGUCGUCAGCUCGUGUCGUGAGAUGUUGGGUUAAGUCCCGCAACGAGCGCAACCCCUAUUGUUAGUUGCUACGCAAGAGCACUCUAGCGAGACUGCCGUUGACAAAACGGAGGAAGGCGGGGACGACGUCAAAUCAUCAUGCCCCUUAUGUCCCGGGCUACACACGUAAUACAAUGGCGGUCAACAAAGGGAAGCAAAGCCGCGAGGCAGAGCAAACCCCCAAAAGCCGUCUCAGUUCGGAUUGCAGGCUGCAACUCGCCUGCAUGAAGCUGGAAUUGCUAGUAAUCGUGGAUCAGAAUGCCACGGUGAAUACGUUCCCGGGCCUUGUACACACCGCCCGUCACACCAUGAGAGUCGGGAACACCCGAAGUCCGUAGUCUAACCCGCAAGGGAGGGCGCGGCCGAAGGUGGGUCUGAUAAUUGGGGUGAAGUCGUAACAAGGCA